GACUUAGUGGUGUAGAGGUUAACAUACCUGCAUAAUGGUAGGGUGCCAACGUCUGGAAUUAUUGUGGGAGUUCCCUGUUCAAUUCAGGGCUGGGUCA